GAUGAACGCUGGCGGCGUGCCUAAUACAUGCAAGUCGAGCGAACAGACGAGGAGCUUGCUCCGCGGACGAUAGCGGAGCGCGGGUGAGAAACACGUGUAUAACCUCCCUAUCUGUCUGAGAUCACUACGGAACACGGGCGCUUAUAGCGGAUAAGAUCUUGCAGCGCAUUGGGCGAUGGUGAGAGACGGUGUUGCUGUCUCGUAUAGAUGGUUACGCGCCGGAUUAGGUGGUUGGUGCGGUAACGGCCUACCAAGGCAACGAUGCGUAGCCGAAGUGAGAGAGUGAUCGGCGACACUGGAACUGGGACAGGGACCAGGCUACUACGGGAGGGCGCAGUAGGGAAUGGUACGCAGUGGGCGAAAGCUUGACGGAGCAGCGCGGCGUGUGUGACGAAGGUCCUGGGAGCGUGAAGCCGUGUUAUUAGGGAAGAACAACUGUGUAAGUAGCUGAGCACGGAUUGACGGUACCUAGUCAGGAAGCCACGGCUAACUACGUG
rnacentral:rRNA from 1 species